CCUACGGGCGGCAGCAGUGAGGAAUAUUGGUCAAUGGCCGGAAGGCUGAACCAGCCAUGCCGCGUGAAGGUCAGUGCCCUAUGGGCGUUAAACUUCUUUUGUGCGGGAGCAAUAAUGGUCACGUGUGGCCAGACGAGAGUACCGUACGAAUAAGCAUCGGCUAACUCCGUGCCAGCAGCCGCGGUAAUACGGGGGAUGCAAGCGUUAUCCGGAUUUAUUGGGUUUAAAGGGUGCGUAGGCUGUGAGGUAAGUCAGCGGUGAAAUGCCCCCGCUCAACGGGGUGAAGUGCCAUUGAUACUGCCUGGCUGGAAUGCGGAUGCCGUGGGAGGAAUGUGUGGUGUAGCGGUGAAAUGCAUAGAUAUCACACAGAACACCGAUUGCGAAGGCAUCUCACGAAGCCGCGAUUGACGCUGAUGCACGAAAGCGUGGGUAUCAAACAGGAUUAGAUACCCGUGUAGUC
rnacentral:rRNA from 1 species